rnacentral:sRNA from 1 species
UCCGAAGUAAAUCCGUGAUGGAGGCGAACCAGCUGCUGGUUCGAGCAGAGCGAAGCGAGACGACAACGCGCCAGCGUUGCCCGCAGGGUGAGGCCGAAGGCCGAAUCAAUCCAGCACGGCGCACCA